rnacentral:rRNA from 1 species
GACGAACGCUGGCGGCGUGCCUAAUACAUGCAAGUAGAACGCUGAAGAGAGGAGCUUGCUCUUCUUGGAUGAGUUGCGAACGGGUGAGUAACGCGUAGGUAACCUGCCUUGUAGCGGGGGAUAACUAUUGGAAACGAUAGCUAAUACCGCAUAACAAUGGAUGUCACAUGUCAUUUAUUUGAAAGGGGCAAUUGCUCCACUACAAGAUGGACCUGCGUUGUAUUAGCUAGUAGGUGAGGUAAUGGCUCACCUAGGCGACGAUACAUAGCCGACCUGAGAGGGUGAUCGGCCACACUGGGACUGAGACACGGCCCAGACUCCUACGGGAGGCAGCAGUAGGGAAUCUUCGGCAAUGGGGGCAACCCUGACCGAGCAACGCCGCGUGAGUGAAGAAGGUUUUCGGAUCGUAAAGCUCUGUUGUAAGUCAAGAACGGGUGUGAGAGUGGAAAGUUCACACUGUGACGGUAGCUUACCAGAAAGGGACGGCUAACUACGUG